rnacentral:rRNA from 1 species
CCAACGAGUUACGUUAAGUAGCAAGGUUAAGCACUUAAGGUGCGGAGCCGUAGCGAAAGCGAGUUUUAACUGAGCGUUCAGUUACUUGACGUAGACCCGAAACCGGGCGACCUACCCAUGAGCAGGAUGAAGCGAAAGUAAAAUUUCGUGGAGGUCCGAACCCACGAGCGUUGAAAAGCUCGGGGAUGACUUGUGGGUAGCGGUGAAAUUCCAAUCGAGCCCGGAGAUAGCUGGUUCUCCCCGAAAUAGCUUUAGGGCUAGCCUCAAGGUGAGAGAUACGGAGGUAGAGCACUGAAUGUCCUAGGGGGUAUUGCACCUACCGAAGACUAUCAAACUCCGAAUGCCGUCAUCUUAUACUUGGGAGUCAGACUGUGGGUGAUAAGAUUCAUAGUCGAAAGGGCAACAGCCCAGAUCGUCAGCUAAGGUCCCUAAAUGUAAGUUAAGUGGUAAAGGAUGUGGGAUUGCACAGACAACCAGGAUGUUGGCUUAGAAGCAGCCACUCAUUCAAAGAGUGCGUAAUAGCUCACUGGUCGAGUGAUCCUGCGCCGAAGAUUUCCGGGGCUAAAACUUACUACCGAAGCUACGGCAUCAGUAAUGAUGGGUAGGGGAGCUUCCCAUACGGGUUGAAGCAUGACCGUAAGGACAUGUGGACAGUAUGGGAGUGAGAAUGUUGGCAUGAGUAGCGAGAUGUGGGUGAGAAUCCCACAGGCCGUAAACCCAAGGUUUCCAGGGGAAGGUUCGUCCGCCCUGGGUUAGUCGGGACCUAAGCUGAGGCCGAAAGGCGUAGGUGAUGGACAACAGGUUGAUAUUCCUGUACUACCGAUAACCGUUUGAGAGAAGGGAUGACACAGUAGGAUAAGCUAAGCACACUGUUGGUUAUGUGUGCCCAAGCAUUGAGGCAGUCAAAGUAGGCAAAUCCGCUUUGAUAAUGCUGGGAUGUGAUGGGGAGCGAAAUUUAGUAGCGAAGUAGCUGAUUUCACACUGUCAAGAAAAGUCUCUAUCGAGGUUAAAGGUACCCGUACCGCAAACCGACACAGGUGGGUGAGGAGAGUAUCCUAAGGCCAGCGAGAGAACUGUUGUUAAGGAACUCGGCAAAAUGACCCCGUAACUUAGGGAUAAGGGGUGCCACCAUCAGGUGGCCGCAGAGAAUAGGCCCAAGCGACUGUUUACCAAAAACAUAGGUUUCUGCUAAGUCGCAAGACGAUGUAUAGGAGCUGACGCCUGCCCGGUGCUGGAAGGUUAAGGGGAUCUGUUAGAGCAAUCGAAGCAGUGAACUUAAGCCCCAGUAAACGGCGGCCGUAACUAUAACGGUCCUAAGGUAGCGAAAUUCCUUGUCGGGUAAGUUCCGACCCGCACGAAAGGCGUAACGAUUUGGGCACUGUCUCAACAACAGACUCGGUGAAAUUGUAAUUCCGGUGAAGAUGCCGGAUACCUGCGACAGGACGGAAAGACCCCAUGGAGCUUUACUGUAGCUUGACAUUGGGUCUUGGUACUACAUGUACAGGAUAGGUGGGAGGCUUUGAAACCAGGACGCCAGUUUUGGCGGAGCCAUCCUUGGGAUACCACCCUUGUAGUACUGGGACUCUAACCAUAGGCCAUGAAUCUGGUCUUGGGACACUGUCAGGUGGGCAGUUUGACUGGGGCGGUCGCCUCCCAAAAGGUAACGGAGGCGCUCAAAGGUUCUCUCAGUACGGUCGGAAAUCGUACGUAGAGUGUAAAGGCAAAAGAGAGCUUGAUUGCAAGACAUACAGGUCGAGCAAGGAUGAAAAUCGGACUUAGUGAUCCGGUGGUUCUGCGUGGAAGGGCCAUCGCUCAACGGAUAAAAGCUACCCUGGGGAUAACAGGCUUAUCUCCCCCAAGAGUCCACAUCGACGGGGAGGUUUGGCACCUCGAUGUCGGCUCAUCACAUCCUGGGGCUGUAGUAGGUCCCAAGGGUUGGGCUGUUCGCCCAUUAAAGUGGUACGCGAGCUGGGUUCAGAACGUCGUGAGACAGUUCGGUCCCUAUCCGUCGCAGGCGUAGGAAAUUUGAGAAGACCUGUCCUUAGUACGAGAGGACCGGGAUGGACGUACCUCUGGUGUACCAGUUGU